AAGUGUAUGCCGGUUCACGCGUUUUGUUCUUGAAUAACAACGCGAUAGUUGCACUUAAUUACAAACGAAAUGAUGACUGCGUGAAUUCGUUGGUUUCCUCCGCCAAGACAUACGCAGUGCUUACGACUAUUCGGUACCCCCGCAAUCUCGCUACACCUGACAGCGAAGCGCUCUGUCGUAAAACAUUCGGCACCUGCCAGUCGCCGAUUUCUUGUACCACCAGUGAGUGUUAUGGCCCCACCGUCCCCACCAAUGACGAGGCCAGCUGCUGAUGCUUCCCUGACAGAUAUGGCUGGGGAAGUCCUCACCAAUGGCAAUGCCUAUGAAGAAAUCGCCCAGAUUGGUACAGGUGCCUUUGGCACUGUGUACAAGGCCCGAGACCGUCAAAACGAAGGACGUUUUGUUGCCCUCAAGAAAGUGCGUGUGUCACUCAACGAGGAAGGCAUCCCCACUGGAACGCUGCGCGAGAUUGGCCUCCUCCGUCAGCUGGACGCUGCGCAGCACCCGAAUGUGGUGCGUCUACUGGACAUCUGCCAUGGCAACCGGCUGGAACGGGAGCUGGUCCUUUUUCUUGUCUUUGAGCACAUUGACCAGGACUUGGCGGGAUUUCUGGAGCGCUGCCCUGAACCAGGCCUUGAGCCUGAGCUCAUUGCCUGGCUUCUGAAGCAGCUGCUGACGGGAGUGGAGUUUCUGCACUCACAUCGCAUCGUCCAUCGUGAUCUGAAGCCCCAGAAUGUGUUGGUGACUUCUCAGAGGCAACUCAAGCUUGCCGAUUUUGGCUUGGCUCGCCUCUAUGAGCGGGAAAUGUCUCUGACGCCCGUGGUGGUCACGCUGUGGUACCGCCCGCCUGAGGUUCUCCUUCAAGCAAAUUAUGGCUCACCAGUGGAUCUGUGGAGCUGCGGUUGCAUCUUGGCAGAAAUGGCACGCCGCAAGCCUCUUUUUGGUGGUCGUUCUGAGGCAGACCAGCUUACGCGGAUCUUGGAGAUCAUGGGACUUCCACCAGCAGAUGAGUGGCCAGCAGAUGCUGCUGUUUCAAGGCAGACAUUCUCUAACUUCAGCACUUGUGGAACUUCUUUGGAGCAGGCUGUGCCGCAACUUGAAGGUCCUUUCAUGGAUCUGCUGCACCAGAUGCUGCGUUUCAGCCCCCACCGUCGCAUCACCGCAAAGGCUGCUUUGUCGCACCCAUGCUUGGUCGACGUUAAUGAAUUCACCGUUUCCUGAUAUCAAACUGUACGACAAACCCGUGCUUGAGAGACAUCUGCAGCAGCACAUGCACACAGACAAGGGAAAGAUAUACAUAUGCGCUGGUCCUGGUGGUACCUCCAAUGUCAGUACAAGCCCUCAUGUAAGCAUUUCUCGAGCACAAAAAUGUGCUCCUGUUUGCCCAGUGGAACUUGCUGUGUGUAAAGUGCAUCUUAAUUCUCUGGUCGUCAUUAUCACUUCAUUUCUUGCUACUAAGUGAUUCAUGGUGAAUUUAAUUGGCAAGGUCGGGGCAACUUUUGCUGCUCUUUUUUAGAGCUAGUACAUUUUAAUGAUAGAGUGAGGGCAGGAUCACAUUUUGCAAUAAGAGAGUCGGAGCAGAUUUCGAUCGGUGAAGCAGUUGAAGCUGCUCCGCAAAACCGUCGGGGUUGACUGAAAUUCUGUAUGCUGUAUUGCCUUCAUGCAUGCUUUUCCGGUCUUUUACUACUCACUCAGCUUGGUGUAGUGGUGUUAGCCGUGGCUUUCUGUUGUAAUGGCGGACGUCAUGGAUGACUCGUACCAGCACGCAUCAUUGCUUUUGCGGCUAGAUAGUGAGAGCUCUGACUUGGAUCUCUAAAGCUCUGAUAAUUGCAGCAAACUGUGGCAGUGAACAGCGGAAGCGGAUGACCACACGUAGGGUAUCCUGAGUAACUCGUGAGUCUUGUAUAGCACUUUCGCUCUCACACUAUCACACUAUACUCCGGUGGCGUGGGUUUUGCUCCACUCGUGGAUUAGGAGGCAUUGCUCUUCGCAGAAAGGGGUGCUUGCUUGUGAAGUCAGUCAACUUGAAUGGAAUUCACCAUUAGUAAUGAAUUUAUGCUUAACUCACCUUUUUCCUUCAUUGUCACGAUGCUCGUCUGCAGGCAUGCGCCACGCACUGUCGUUGCGGGCUCAUUGUGCACAAUAGAGCACCAGCAUAGGUACUAGUAGUAAGACGUUGAUGACUCGUUUCCUGGCUCAAUGCACAGGACAGUUUUCUUAUCUUUAUUACCUGAAGACCAGGUAGGGGUUGUUUUUUGUAAGGGAUUGGCUGCAAAUGGGCUGCAAUUCUUGGCAUGGCAGAUCUGCAGGUAUGAUAACCACUAUGUUGGUAGCCCCUAUGAUAGGCCGUAAAGAGUGUGCACAUAACCUAUGGAGCCAGUCACAAAAGCGACACGACGGCUAUGAAUUUUCUAUUCAGAUCUGCAGUAGCAACCGUGAUGGUCUGAGCACUUUACAUUUACCAGAACAUUACUGUCAACUGUACCUCGGGUGUGAUUUGGCUAAGCAGCAGUUCAUCAUGAUAGCCAUCAGUGAGUUGGUGCUGUCCUUUACUUUAUUGUCUUUUAAUACAGAUUGUACAUAAUGUUAAUUUUACGUCAGCUCAGCUCUGAAACCAGAGUGACUAGCAUUUGCAGCCAUUCUGGCUGCUGACAUACUUCCAGUGCUCAAGUAUAUACUAUUUAUUCUUGUCGUACAAGGAAGUGUGCAUUUGCUGGGGAUAUUUUCGGAAGUGCCAUACUCAGCUAAUACUUGUGCCUUGUUGUAUGCUUGCAUAUUUGCAAUGAGCGUGUGUUUUUUAAAUAUCUUUGAUACAGCAUAUCAGAACAUUGCUAUAUGAGAUAAUUUUUGGCCAUUGUGUACAUAUCACCGCUUUUGGUGUACCAGAUAUUUUUGACAGGGUGAGCAGCUCAUGUGGUGACACAUUUCAAUGGUGCCUUCAACCAGAUGCGACCUUUGACCGAAUAAAAGCGCCAUAACAUAACAGGUCCUCUGAAGAGCUUGUUAUAGGGAAUGAAGUGGAGUUGUUAUAGUGGUCUCACCUAGGCAAGGAAUUAUGCACAUAAACCAAAUGCCUAAAAUUGGUGGCUGUCUGGGUUUAUCCUUCAAUUGCCACCCUAUUACAAUAAUAUUAUAGACUUGUUGCACCAGUCUCUGUGAGUCGGCCACUGGGCAUUCCUUUUCAGAGCAUCAUGUCAUGGAUUCUAUUCCCUGCUGCAUUUCAUUGGGGACGGAAUUUGUUUUUUCAUCAACAUGCAUCAAGUUUUGAGAGCUUAUUACGGGGCUCUAGGCAGUCAAAACUAAGCCAGCAAGUGUGGUAUGCUUAGGACACACUGAUGAUGGCUUUUAUAUUCAAUGAUAGGUUAAUGCACGUAUGCAGAAUUGUAGUACUGGUUAACGAGGGUGUUUCAGAGCCCUUCUAAAACCCUAUUGGCUAUUGGUAGCAUGAGGGAUGCCACAGGUGGAGUGAUUUGCACCUUCGUGUUGAUUCCACUCACAGGACAAGUGCAAUAUUGCAAGCUAUUCUGUCUUGAACAUGAGAGCAGGGAAAAGCAGCAAUGUCAGUGUCAGGCUGAAAGCAGAUUUAUCUUCAGGGAACAGUGAUUGUUGAGCAGUUGCCUGGCGUCUUUUGUUGUUUAUUUCCUCACUUGGUAACAACUACAUGAUUGUUAAUGUGUGCCUACCUGUUCAAGGACCAAACCUGAGACAAACAAGCUACAUAUUUGAUCUCACAUGAGAGGGGUCAUUUUCAUAACCCUCUUGCUAGGCCAGUGGUUGCACUGCAAGAUUGCUGUUUUGCUCUGGGGUGGGGUAAUUGAUGCUGCUCUGACAGCAAAACGUUAUGCGAGGUAAAACUGUGCCAUUUGCAUAAUAUAGGUCGCGAGUGAGAGCCACUUCCACCCCUCUUCCUCCCCACAUUCCAGAAUGGUCUAUGAUUACCUGGAAGUGUGUGUCAGAGCUCGUUGGGCAAUUUGUCCGGAAAAGCCCUUUAAGAAUGAGCAGCUUUUCCCACUGUUCAGCAUUGCCUUGAAUGCUUAUCGACCUGCAUGUUUCCAUUCACUGUUCAUCUCAGGCCGCAUGUAGCUGUGUUUGACUGGACUGCAUGAAGGCAGUUGAAAUCACCCAGAUGUGUUGCCGAGGCACAUUUAUCCUCCCCUUGUUAGUGCUGCAUAAAGGUAUGCCUGUUGACAUUCUGUUUGUUAACAUGAAAAUAAAGCGUUUAUGCGAAUAUAGUCUAGUUCAUAUUGCUAGUUGCAUCAUGAGCUCACUAGAGAUGAUAAUCAGGGUUGUUCAAUAAAAACUGAGACUGAUUCUCUGAAACAUUUCUGAAAAUUACUCGUCAGAACAUUUAUCUCUUUUAAUGUACUCUCCACUGAGUGAAAUGCGCCUGUCCGACUGUUUCUGACAUGCCUGGAAAACAUUGUUGAAGCCAUUUUUCACCAUCCAGUUGAAAACUGCCUCUAAAGCCUUGACUGUAUUCUGCUCCAUGUCAAAGCGAUGUCAUUUCUGUUACAUUUUUUUGUUGUGGGUACAAAAAUAUGUUUCAGGGGGCCUAACCAAAUGCACAAGCAGAUCGGCAUAAGCUUCUGUGGAUUUUUUUUAAAGCUGCGCACAGAACUUGAUCACAUGGUGUUAAUGUAAAGUCAUCAUGGGUCACAACCAGUGAACUUGGAGGCAUGAAAUAUGAUCUUUUGCUUGAAUGAAUAUUGCUACUGCUGCAUUAGAGCGAAAGUGAUGCAGCAUGUGGUGGAGAUUAAGGAAGUCGCUACAUUAACAAAAAACGCCGAGAUGGCGCAGUGAAGAGCACUAGACCGCGUCUGUCUUUAUGGAACAAGCCUUGUAUUUGGUCCAACAUAUCGUGGAAGUUCAGUAGACUCUUGGUGCAUUGUGUUUUGUUCAUGUGGCCGUAACCAAUAAAGAGCCCAGUUGAACCACA
rnacentral:misc_RNA from 1 species